AAAAUUAAUUUCAUAUCAUCUAAAACUUAAUAGUUAAUUGAGAUGAUAAAGAGAAAAUUGGAAUUUUAUUUUAGUUGUGAGAUCGUAAGUAUGAAAAUAAUAAUAUUUAAUUGUUUAGAUAU
rnacentral:sRNA from 1 species